rnacentral:tRNA from 1 species
AAUUCUCACCCAAAUUAUACAU